GACGAACGCUGGCGGCGCGCUUAACACAUGCAAGUCGAGCGAAGCGGCGGACGGGUGAGUAACACGUGAGUAACCUGCCUUAGACAUUGGGAUAGCCUCGGGAAACCGGGUUUAAUACCAAAUGGUCUAAGAUGGACUCGCGUCCCAUUAGCUAGUUGGUGGGUAACGGCCCACCAAGGCGACGAUGGGUAGCCGGACUGAGAGAGUGAAAGGACACAUUGGAGAUGAGAAACGGUCCAAACUCUACAGGAGGCAGCAGUGGGGAAAAUUGCACAAUGGAGGGAGCUCUGAUGCGGCGACGCGGCGUGAACGAAGAAGGCUGUCGAGUCGUAAAGUGCUUUUAUAUGGGAAGCGGUACCAUAAGAAAAAGCCCCGGCUAACUACGUGCCAGCAGCCGCGUAAUUC
rnacentral:rRNA from 1 species